rnacentral:rRNA from 1 species
AGUGAACGCUGGCGGUAGGCCUAACACAUGCAAGUCGAACGGCAGCACAGUAAGAGCUUGCUCUUACGGGUGGCGAGUGGCGGACGGGUGAGGAAUACAUCGGAAUCUACUUUUUCGUGGGGGAUAACGUAGGGAAACUUACGCUAAUACCGCAUACGCCCUACGGGUGAAAGCAGGGGAUCUUCGGACCUUGCGCGAUUGAAUGAGCCGAUGUCGGAUUAGCUAGUUGGCGGGGUAAAGGCCCACCAAGGCGACGAUCCGUAGCUGGUCUGAGAGGAUGAUCAGCCACACUGGAACUGAGACACGGUCCAGACUCCUACGGGAGGCAGCAGUGGGGAAUAUUGGACAAUGGGCACAAGCCUGAUCCAGCCAUACCGCGUGGGUGAAGAAGGCCUUCGGGUUGUAAAGCCCUUUUGUUGGGAAAGAAAAGCAGCAGGUUAAUACCCCGCUGUUCUGACGGUACCCAAAGAAUAAGCACCGGCUAACUUCGUG